rnacentral:rRNA from 1 species
CCUACGGGAGGCAGCAGUGGGGGAUAUUGCACAAUGGGGGGAACCCUGAUGCAGCGACGCCGCGUGGGUGAAGAAGCGCCUCGGCGCGUAAAGCCCUUUCAGCAGGGAAGAAAAUGACGGUACCUGACGAAUAAGCCCCGGCUAACUACGUGCCAGCAGCCGCGGUAAUACGUAGGGGGCAAGCGUUAUCCGGAUUUACUGGGUGUAAAGGGGGCGCAGACGGCGAUGCAAGCCAGGAGUGAAAGCCCGGGGCCCAACCCCUGGACUGCUCUUGGAACUGCGUGGCUGGAGUGCAGGAGGGGCAGGCGGAAUGCCUGGUGGAGCGGUGUAAGGAGUAGAUAUCAGGAGGAACACCGGUGGCGAAGGCGGCCUGCUGGACUGCAACUGACGUUGAGGCCCGAAAGCGUGGGGAGCAAACAGGAUUAGAUACCCCGGUAGUC